CGCAGAAUAAGCACCGGCUAACUCUGUGCCAGCAGCCGCGGUAAUACAGAGGGUGCAAGCGUUAAUCGGAAUUACUGGGCGUAAAGCGCGCGUAGGCGGUUUGUUAAGUCGGAUGUGAAAUCCCUGGGCUCAACCUAGGCACUGCAUCCGAUACUGGCUAACUAGAGUGUGGGAGAGGAAGGUAGAAUUCCAGGUGUAGCGGUGAAAUGCGUAGAGAUCUGGAGGAAUACCGAUGGCGAAGGCAGCCUUCUGGCCUAACACUGACGCUGAGGUGCGAAAGCAUGGGGAGCAAAACAGGAUUAGAUACCCUGGUAGUCCACGCAGUAAACGAUGAUUACUAGCUGUUUGCGAUACACAGUAAGCGGCACAGCGAAAGCGUUAAGUAAUCCACCUGGGGAGUACGCCGGCAACGGUGAAACUCAAAGGAAUUGACGGGGGCCCGCACAAGCGGAGGAACAUGUGGUUUAAUUCGAUGAUACGCGAGGAACCUUACCCGGGUUUGAACGUAGGGA
rnacentral:rRNA from 1 species